rnacentral:rRNA from 1 species
AUUGAACGCUGGCGGCAUGCCUUACACAUGCAAGUCGAACGGCAGCACGGGUGCUUGCACCUGGUGGCGAGUGGCGAACGGGUGAGUAAUACAUCGGAACGUACCUUAUCGUGGGGGAUAACGCAGCGAAAGUUGCGCUAAUACCGCAUAAGCCCUGAGGGGGAAAGCGGGGGACCGUAAGGCCUCGCGCGAUUAGAGCGGCCGAUGUCUGAUUAGCUUGUGGGUGAGGUAAAAGCUCACCAAGGCGAUGAUCAGUAGCUGGUCUGAGAGGACGAUCAGCCACGCUGGGACUGAGACACGGCCCAGACUCCUACGGGAGGCAGCAGUGGGGAAUUUUGGACAAUGGGGGCAACCCUGAUCCAGCAAUGCCGCGUGAGUGAAGAAGGCCUUCGGGUUGUAAAGCUCUUUUGUCAGGGAAGAAACAGCAGCUCUAACACAGUCUGCGAAUGACGGUACCUGAAGAAUAAGCACCGGCUAACUACGUGCCAGCCGCCGCGGUAA